UACGUAGGGGGCAAGCGUUGUCCGGAAUCAUUGGGCGUAAAGCGCACGUAGGCGGCCUGAUAAGUCGGGUGUGAAAGCCCUGGGCUCAACCCAGGAAGUGCACUCGAAACUGUCAGGCUUGAAUAUGGAAGAGGGUCGCGGAAUUCCCGGUGUAGAGGUGAAAUUCGUAGAUAUCGGGAGGAACACCAGUGGCGAAGGCGGCGACCUGGGCCAAUAUUGACGCUGAGGUGCGAAAGCGUGGGGAGCAAACAGG
rnacentral:rRNA from 1 species